rnacentral:rRNA from 1 species
UACGUAGGGGGCUGGCGUUGUCCGGAAUCAUUGGGCGUAAAGAGCGCGUAGGCGGCCCGGUAAGUCCGCUGUAAAAGUCCAGGGCUCAACCCUGGAAAGCCGGUGGAUACUGUCGGGCUCGAGUCCGGAAGAGGCGAGUGGAAUUCCUGGUGUAGCGGUGGAAUGCGCAGAUAUCAGGAGGAACACCAAUGGCGAAGGCAGCUCGCUGGGACGGUACUGACGCUGAGGCGCGAAGGCCAGGGGAGCGAACGGG